rnacentral:rRNA from 1 species
UACGUAGGGGGCAAGCGUUGUCCGGAAUUACUGGGCGUAAAGGGUGCGUAGGCGGCAUGUUAAGUUGGAUGUGAAAUACCCGGGCUCAACCUGGGGGGUGCAUCCAAAACUGGCAAGCUAGAGUGCAGGAGAGGAAAGCGGAAUUCCUAGUGUAGCGGUGAAAUGCGUAGAUAUUAGGAGGAACACCAGUGGCGAAGGCGGCUUUCUGGACUGCAACUGACGCUGAGGCACGAAAGCGUGGGGAGCAAACAGGAUUAGAUACCCUGGUAGU